AACGAACGCUGGCGGCAGGCCUAACACAUGCAAGUCGAACGCUCCGCAAGGGGAGUGGCGCACGGGUGAGUAACACGUGGGAACCUACCUUCUGGUACGGAACAACCAAGGGAAACUUUGGCUAAGACCGUAUACGACCUCCGGGUGAAAGAUUGAUCGCCGGAAGAGGGGCCCGCGUCCGAUUAGGUAGUUGGUGAGGUAACGGCUCACCAAGCCUUCGAUCGGUAGCUGGUCUGAGAGGAUGACCAGCCACACUGGGACUGAGACACGGCCCAGACUCCUACGGGAGGCAGCAGUGGGAAUAUUGGACAAUGGGCGCAAGCCUGAUCCAGCCAUGCCGCGUGAGUGAUGAAGGCC
rnacentral:rRNA from 1 species